GACAGAGGCCUCGAGCGUUAGGCGGAAUCACUGGGCUUAAAGCGUGUGUAGGCGGAUCGUUAAGUGCCUUGUGAAAUCCCACGGCUUAACUGUGGAGCGGCUGGGCAUACUGGCGGUCUUGAGCCAUCUAGGGGCGACUGGAACAAACGGUGGAGCGGUGAAAUGCGUAGAUAUCGUUUGGAACGCCAAUGGUGAAAACAGGUCGCUGGGGAUGAGCUGACGCUGAGACACGAAAGCCAGGGGAGCAAACGGG
rnacentral:rRNA from 1 species